rnacentral:rRNA from 1 species
CAGUCGCCGCGGUAAUACGUAGGGUGCAAGCGUUAAUCGGAAUUACUGGGCGUAAAGCGUGCGCAGGCGGUUUGUUAAGACAGAUGUGAAACCCCCGGGCUCAACCUGGGAACUGCAUUUGUGACUGGCAAGCUAGAGUGUGGCAGAGGGGGGUGGAAUUCCGCGUGUAGCAGUGAAAUGCGUAGAUACGCGGAGGAACACCGAUGGCGAAGGCAGCCCCCUGGGCCAACACUGACGCUCAUGCACGAAAGCGUGGGGAGCAAACAGGAUUAGAGACCCGCGUAGUCCCUGUCUCUUAUAC